rnacentral:rRNA from 1 species
GACGAACGCUGGCGGCGUGCUUAACACAUGCAAGUCGAGCGGUAAGGCCCUUUCGGGGGUACACGAGCGGCGAACGGGUGAGUAACACGUGGGUGACCUGCCCUUAGCUCUGGGAUAAGCCUGGGAAACUGGGUCUAAUACCGGAUAUGACUCCAUGACGCAUGUUGUGGGGUGGAAAGCCUUGUGCGGCUGAGGAUGGGCCCGCGGCCUAUCAGCUUGUUGGUGGGGUGAUGGCCUACCAAGGCGACGACGGGUAGCCGGCCUGAGAGGGCGAUCGGCCACACUGGGACUGAGACACGGCCCAGACUCCUACGGGAGGCAGCAGUGGGGAAUCUUGCGCAAUGGGCGAAAGCCUGACGCAGCGACGCCGCGUGAGGGAUGACGGCCU